rnacentral:rRNA from 1 species
UACGUAGGGCGCAAGCGUUGUCCGGAAUUAUUGGGCGUAAAGAGCUCGUAGGCGGUUUGUCGCGUCUGCUGUGAAAACCUAAGGCUCAACCUUGGGCUUGCAGUGGGUACGGGCAGACUAGAGUGCGGUAGGGGUGACUGGAAUUCCUGGUGUAGCGGUGAAAUGCGCAGAUAUCAGGAGGAACACCGAUGGCGAAGGCAGGUCUCUGGGCAUUAACUGACGCUGGAGGAGCGAAAGCAUGGGGAGCGAACAGG